UGGGGAAUAUUGCACAAUGGGCGCAAGCCUGAUGCAGCCAUGCCGCGUGUAUGAAGAAGGCCUUAGGGUUGUAAAGUACUUUCAGCGGGGAGGAAGGUGAUAAGGUUAAUACCCUUAUCAAUUGACGUUACCCGCAGAAGAAGCACCGGCUAACUCCGUG
rnacentral:rRNA from 1 species